AUGAACGCUGGCGGCGUGCCUAAUACAUGCAAGUCGAGCGAACAGACGAGGAGCUUGCUCCUCUGACGUUAGCGGCGGACGGGUGAGUAACACGUGGAUAACCUACCUAUAAGACUGGGAUAACUUCGGGAAACCGGAGCUAAUACCGGAUAAUAUAUUGAACCGCAUGGUUCAAUAGUGAAAGACGGUUUUGCUGUCACUUAUAGAUGGAUCCGCGCCGCAUUAGCUAGUUGGUAAGGUAACGGCUUACCAAGGCGACGAUGCGUAGCCGACCUGAGAGGGUGAUCGGCCACACUGGAACUGAGACACGGUCCAGACUCCUACGGGAGGCAGCAGUAGGGAAUCUUCCGCAAUGGGCGAAAGCCUGACGGAGCAACGCCGCGUGAGUGAUGAAGGGCUUCGGAUCGUAAAACUCUGUUAUUAGGGAAGAACAAAUGUGUAAGUAACUAUGCACGUCUUGACGGUACCUAAUCAGAAAGCCACGGCUAACUACGU
rnacentral:rRNA from 1 species